rnacentral:misc_RNA from 1 species
CUCCCACCCCUAUCUUUUUUUCAGCCGCCACCAACAGCCUCCUCUUCCUCCCCACGCUCUCCUUUAUCCUUCUGCCGUGCAGCACCUCUGCUCCCCUUUCCAUGGUGCCCAGCAGGAACUCCAUGGCCAGCCGCCCCUCUUCUGCUCGGCCAACUCUGGGUAAGCGGCGCCAUGGGUACAACUUCUCCUCUACCUGUGAUCCGGCCAGCGGUCACGGCGUCCGAGUUCCCUGCGAGCUCUUCUCUGCCCCUGCGUUAUCCAUGGCUGCGAGCUAUCCCUGGCGCACCUUACCUCUGGCCGGCACCCUGCACAGCAUCCCCCUCCCCAGGCUCCUAGCGCAGGGCAUUUCUCUAGGUCCGAGCUCGAGCAGGUGGGCUCGCCCCAUGGCCUGGGCUCCUUGUUCGCUUCCUGCACGUACGCUCCCUCUCCCAUAUGGCUUCCUGCCCUUCUCAAGUCCGGCCAUCCCCACCUUGCCGUGGAUUCCCUCGAGCAGUCCCAUCUGGCCGCCAUCCUCCCAGAUCGAGUUUCCCCUUUUUUUGUGCAGCUCACCAUCUCCCCCUGCGCGCGCUGGCUAGAUGCCAUUCGAGCUCCGGUCUGCAACUCCCUCUCGCUGCUUCCCUUGAACGCCGGAGCUCCAAGGCCGCACCCCCGUCCCCAUGGCCGACCAGCAAACUUCGAUGGUCGAGCCCUCCUUUCUUCCUUCUCUGUUCCAGAUCGGCAUUGGGGCAGUGCGCGCAAGGUUCUCCCAGCCGUGGACAGCACCCUUCCCUCCCUCGGAUGCCCUGCUCGCCCCAGCCAGGGACCAUCGCGCAGAGCGCCGUCGGCCUCUUGAGCGCGCUCUCCAUUGCUCCGGCGUUUCCCCCUGCUGUUUCCUGCGCCCAGUUUUUCUCGUCGUGAGCAGCAGCCCCCAACGCCUCCGCGCGGCUCGCUGCUUUGUUCUGCGCAGUGAACAGCACGCCGUCGACGCCCGCCGUGUGCUCGCUGUUUUGCGCAGCCCCCAAUAGUGCCGUCGAAACUCGUGCUAACGGUCGACGUCGCGCUUCGCGCCCUGCCCAUUCGAUGAAGCGUCGAGCCUUGUGGACAGUCCAUGCGGCUAAAUCCCGACUCGUUCAGGACCGAGAGAUGAUGAUCGAGCCAGUGAUGUGGUGCCACCCACAAGAUGCAGUUGGUGGACGACCUGAAGAAUGGUGGACUUACCCAGUAGAUGCUCGCCAAGCGAAUACCUCCCCCAGCAAACACUACCUAAGUGUUAAAUUAAAGAGGUCUUCCUAGCCGCUGCGGGUCUGCCUCGCGUCGCCACUGCACCGACCCGCCACAGCCCCACUAGCCUGACUCCACCGCCACCCUAGAGGAUGGAGGACCGUGAGUGGAUGUACACGGGCCGCGUUCGACGUAAUGAUGUCACCCCAGAAUGGAUUAGGAAGACCGAUGCUUUCGUGGAACGGGCAUAUGGCGAAGCUGCUAAAGGAGCUAGCCUAGUCCCUUGUCCGUGCAGCAAAUGUGACAACCGGAAAAGAAAACCAAAGAAGACCAUGGUAGAACAUAUUUGGAAGAAUGGAUUUACGCCGGACUAUACUCGGUGGAUCUUCCAUGGUGAAGCGCAUCGCACGAGAGAGGAGGUGGUGAGACAACGCGUCGAGGAUUACGAUGCUGAUGCCGGGGUAGCAGACAUGUUGAACGACUAUCACGAGGCACAGUUCGCCGAAGGAUGUACGGAGGACGAGCCAGAGGCGACCGCAAAGGCAUUCUACGACAUGUUUGACGCGGCACAGAAACCCCUUCACGGCAAGACAAAGGUUUCUCAACUGGAUGCCAUUGGGCGUAUAAUGGCGUUCAAGUCGCAGUAUAGCAUGAGUCGAGACGCCUUCGAUGGUUUGUUGACAGUUAUUGGCAGCCUGCUUCCGGAGGAUCACGUUCUCCCAAAGAGCAUGUACGAGGCACAGAAACUCCUUCGUGCACUCAAGAUGACGUAUGAGCAGAUACAUGCUUGUCUGAAGGGCUGCGUCCUAUUUAGGAAAGAACACACUGAGGCAAAGUACUGUCCGAAGUGUAAAUCGUCUAGGUUCAUGGAGGUAGACUCUGGUGAUGGAAAGAAGAGGCAGCUCGACAUCCCCGUGACAAUCCUACGCCACCUUCCGUUCAUACCGAGGAUCCAGCGUCUAUACAUGACAGAGGAAUCCGCGAAACAGAUGACAUGGCACAAAAAAGGCAAACGAUACAAUCCUGACAAGAUGGUUCACGCAUCCGAUGGUGAAGCAUGGACCCAAGAAGAUGGGCUCGAAGGGCAAUUUGAGAUAGACUUAACCGAAGCGAUCGGAAUGGAAGUAGAUAUUGAAAUGGUUGUUGAUGACGAGGAUGAUGAGGUGCAAAAUGAGAAUGACUUAGAAAUACUUGAAGGCAAUGCCAAUGAAGAAAUUGCGCCUUCAGAUGAUGUCGACUAUGAAAUGGUUGAUAGUGAUGAUGACACUUAUGAUCCGGCUAACCCGGACACAUAUGAAGAUUAUUUUUAAUCGAUGUUGUUGGACAAAGAUGGUGGGCGGUGGGACGAGGACGAGGAGGGGGAGGGGGAGGGGGAGGAGGAGCACCCGUAGGACGGAGGAGGAGGCGCAGCAGGACGACGCCGUACAGCAGCAGGUGGAGCAGCAAGCCGCUGUCGAUGCGGCACAGCAGGAC